UGCAAGUCGAACGGUAACAGGUCUUCGGAUGCUGACGAGUGGCGAACGGGUGAGUAUUCAUCGGAACGUGCCUAGUAGUGGGGGAUAACUACUCGAAAGAGUAGCUAAUACCGCAUGAGAUCUACGGAUGAAAGCAGGGGACCUUCGGGCCUUGUGCUACUAGAGCGGCUGAUGGCAGAUUAGGUAGUUGGUGGGGUAAAGGCUUACCAAGCCUGCGAUCUGUAGCUGGUCUGAGAGGACGACCAGCCACACUGGGACUGAGACACGGCCCAGACUCCUACGGGAGGCAGCUGUGGGGAAUUUUGGACAAUGGGCGAAAUCCUGAUC
rnacentral:rRNA from 1 species